UACGGGGGGGGCAAGCGUUGUUCGGAAUUACUGGGCGUAAAGGGCUCGUAGGUGGCCAACUACGUCAGACGUGAAAUCCCUCAGCUUAACUGGGGAACUGCGUCUGAUACUGGAUGGCUUGAGAUUGGGAGAGGGAUGCGGAAUUCCAGGUGUAGCGGUGAAAUGCGUAGAGAUCCGGAAGAACACCGGUGGCGAAGGCGGCCUGCUGGGCUAUGGCUGACACUGAGGCGCGACAGCGUGGGGAGCAAACAGG
rnacentral:rRNA from 1 species